rnacentral:rRNA from 1 species
AUUGAACGCUGGCGGCAUGCCUUACACAUGCAAGUCGAACGGCAGCGGACCUUCGGGUGCCGGCGAGUGGCGAACGGGUGAGUAAUGCAUCGGAACGUACCUUUCAGUGGGGGAUAACGUAGCGAAGGUUACGCUAAUACCGCAUAUUCUGUGAGCAGGAAAGCAGGGGAUCGCAAGACCUUGCGCUGAUUGAGCGGCCGAUGUCAGAUUAGCUAGUUGGUGAGGUAAAGGCUCACCAAGGCGACGAUCUGUAGCGGGUCUGAGAGGAUGAUCCGCCACACUGGAACUGAGACACGGUCCAGACUCCUACGGGAGGCAGCAGUGGGGAAUUUUGGACAAUGGGGGCAACCCUGAUCCAGCCAUGCCGCGUGAGUGAAGAAGGCCUUCGGGUUGUAAAGCUCUUUCGGCCGGGAAGAAAUCGCACGGGCUAAUACCCUGUGUGGAUGACGGUACCGGAAUAAGAAGCACCGGCUAACUACGUGCCAGCAGCCGCAGUAACAC